AGCCCUACCUUGUGUUCCAAAGGUAUAAUUUAAGCUCUAAAUUAAAGAAGACAUUUCUAGUCAGAAACAAGCAAAAAUGGUGAAUGCAGAGUAUCAGAAGCCCAAGGUACAGAAAUUAUGAGAAGUGUCGGAUGAUUUUAAGGAAAGAGUCGUAUUUAAAAAUGCAAGACUCUUUAGUGGAGUUCAAGCAAGUCAAUAUACGUAGAAUACUCUGCAAAAUUAUGCGAGUGAGGGGAUGUCAAACAAUGGGUCAGGAAAUGCAUUGUUUUUCUGCAAAACAAAAGCUGAUUGCCAUUACAUAAGUCACUUUAGCAUCAUGAGACUACUGCUUGAUAAAUUCAGAAAUAAACCAAAAAACAAGACACGCAAAAAUAAAAAACAAUUUAAUGAUGCUCUCUCCACACUGGGAUAAAUAAAAACAAACACAUCACAUCUAAUGUGGACAUAUCAGACGCCUUCUGAAACACUAAAGGAAAAAUUCAGUUUUGAGCUAUGGCACUUGCCACGUAGAUGUGGGGGGCCUUGCACUAAUAGUGAUAGUUACCACUGCAUUUAGAAAUUGAAAGCAUUCAUGCAGACACGGAUGAUUCUUUAUAUUUUUGGCUACCACUUCAAAUGCCUCCACCAAGUGUGACAAUGGUGCACGCAGCCAUACUAAGGAUCUCGCAGCAACACCUGCAGGUAAAAAGCAGAAGCAGUCAAAGUGAUGGUGUGUACUGGACACCAUGUUUGAAAACCUUUAGGCAAGAAGAGUGCAAGAAGCAGACAUAACAACUGCAUUUAUUUCCAUAAUUCCCCAUUUGAAUGGCCUUUUAUUUUUGCUUAGACAAUGCCUACGCCUAGCCACAGCAGCUCCCUCAUACAGACUCCGCAAGCCAAGAGGCCGUGGAGGCAAAUGCAGGCAGCCAGCACACCUCGAACAGCCACCUUGACUGCGGGUGUGUCACCCUAGUCGCCAAGGAAACAUCUGAGGGAAAGCGACAGGCAAUGUGAACAGCCACUUCUCCAUGUAAACGAUACUCUUUCUCUCGGAUGACUCCUACGCCUCGCCACGCCAGCACACUUGUGCACAAAGAUGCUGCGGAGGCACGUGCAGCUCAGAGGCAAGAAGCAGUGGCACUGGUGUCGACAUUCACCCAAUUUCUUUUUCUUACACUGAGGCAGCCAGCACACCUCGAACAGCCACCUCGACUGCGGGUGUGUCAGUAGAUUCCUGUUGUACAUAUGCUCAUAACAAACUUCAGUAAACUUGAACUUGAUAAUAAACUUGAAGGCAAAUGGGACA